rnacentral:rRNA from 1 species
AGAGUUUGAUCAUGGCUCAGAUUGAACGCUGGCGGCAGGCCUAACACAUGCAAGUCGAGCGGAUGAGAAGAGCUUGCUCUUCGAUUCAGCGGCGGACGGGUGAGUAAUGCCUAGGAAUCUGCCUGGUAGUGGGGGACAACGUUUCGAAAGGAACGCUAAUACCGCAUACGUCCUACGGGAGAAAGCAGGGGACCUUCGGGCCUUGCGCUAUCAGAUGAGCCUAGGUCGGAUUAGCUAGUUGGUGAGGUAAUGGCUCACC